ACCGGAUCCCACCCGGAUCCCCGGACGACGGAUCAGUACCCGGUGAGCGACAAGACUGGCCGGG
rnacentral:ncRNA from 1 species